CUCGCAGAAUUCAGGACCAUCGAUUGCUAAUUUGAAUGUGAUUUGAUUUAUUUGCAGGUCUAGCAGCAAUGGAGAACGUUUGCGCAUUACGAGACCCAAGUGUCCCAGGGGUGACAGAUAUCUCAAACAUAGAAUGAUAUAGCACCACAUCAGGUUGCUCAUUGAGAUACAAGGUGAUUUUGGACCAACAGCAUUGCUAAUUUGAUGUCGGAUAUUUUGUAGCAGCUUAAUCUGAGCGCAUCUGUUGUACGUCUUCCAAUUAUCUCGACCUAGAUUACGUAAACUUAAAUCUAUUGUGCAGCCUGAAGCAGACUGUUUGCUCUUUCUUUCGCGCCUGUUAUUGCCAUGGUAUUGACAGCUUCCGGCGUAGAUGAGGCCGCGGGCUGUCGACUCUGCUGCUGCCAUUCCCUUCAGUUUGCUGAGUUGAUAGCUAGAUUGACAAAUUAAGGACUACAAUGAAUUCCAAGGACCUCCACGAGGGACAAAGCAAAUUUUUUCAGGACAGGACUUUAAUUAAGCCAGAUAUAGCCAUUUUAUGUUCUAAUAAGCUAUAUAUGUUAUUUAUACUCGAUUUGU